UCCCAGAAGUGUCCACCGGUGUAUAUACAAAAGUCCACAGUAGUGAUAAUCCAAAGUGCUGGAAAGGUAAUUCCACAAAGGUAACUCCACUAAUCCAGUUGGUAGGUGAUCACUACUUGGUCGUAAUGUAAGCAACGACCAUGCUUGUUUGACAUGCUGCCUCCUUUAUACUGUCCAUUACCUGUUUCUUUCACUUAAAGACAUACA